rnacentral:tRNA from 1 species
CGAUUUAGCUCAGUUGGUAGAGCAACUGAUUUGUAAUCAGUAGGUCGGGGGUUCGAAUCCCUCUAUCGGC